UACGUAGGGAGCAAGCGUUGUCCGGAAUCAUUGGGCGUAAAGCGCGCGUAGGUGGCUUCGUAAGUCCGUUGUGAAAGUCAAAGGCUCAACCUUUGAAAGCCGAUGGAUACUGCGGAGCUAGAGUACGGAAGAGGCGAGUGGAAUUCCUGGUGUAGCGGUGGAAUGCGCAGAUAUCAGGAGGAACACCAAUAGCGAAGGCAGGUCUCUGGGCAUUAACUGACGCUGAGGAGCGAAAGCAUGGGGAGCGAACAGG
rnacentral:rRNA from 1 species